rnacentral:rRNA from 1 species
GACGAACGCUGGCGGCGUGCCUAAUACAUGCAAGUCGAACGCUUCUUUCCUCCCGAGUGCUUGCACUCAAUUGGAGAGAGGAGUGGCGGACGGGUGAGUAACACGUGGGUAACCUACCCAUCAGAGGGGGAUAACACUUGGAAACAGGUGCUAAUACCGCAUAACAGUUUAUGCCGCAUGGCAUAAGAGUGAAAGGCGCUUUCGGGUGUCGCUGAUGGAUGGACCCGCGGUGCAUUAGCUAGUUGGUGAGGUAACGGCUCACCAAGGCCACGAUGCAUAGCCGACCUGAGAGGGUGAUCGGCCACACUGGGACUGAGACACGGCCCAGACUCCUACGGGAGGCAGCAGUAGGGAAUCUUCGGCAAUGGACGAAAGUCUGACCGAGCAACGCCGCGUGAGUGAAGAAGGUUUUCGGAUCGUAAAACUCUGUUGUUAGAGAAGAACAAGGACGUUAGUAACUGAACGUCCCCUGACGGUAUCUAACCAGAAAGCCACGGCUAACUACGUG